ACAAAAUGGAAGGGUGUAGCGCGUCGACGGGAAGGGGUGGCGGAGUAGCCAUGGAUUUCCCCGUGGAUCCGGUUUGCAGGAUCAGGGUGGGUUUCAAUCCUCUAGAACGGGCACCACGUGCAAGCAACAGUGAAGCAAAAACGGUCCGGGUAAAGGUUGAAAGGCCAAAACCGUAGAUGACAUAUGGGUGCUGCACCGCCACAUUUAUGGAUCACAGACAUGGGCCAUGGGUGCUGUUCAAUAAUGUUAUCAGUAGCACCAAUACUUGCAGAUAUACGUAGAUCUCUCUGACGACCAUCAGUCAGGAUAAUGCUAGCAUAUAGUCCUACGAGCCAUAUCGAAUUUUCAUGAUUCAUGGGGAAAUAUAUUUGUGUUUGAAUGUUUGAGACUGCAUCAGAUAAUGGUUCUCAUAUUUAAAGCCCAUGUUGCUAUGAAUUUUGUACAAAUUUAGACUUGUUCUCUGCGAUCAUUUCUGAAAUCAAUUCUAGCUCAGUUUCUUACUUAUAGCUCUCUAACGUUUCUAAGAUGCUGUGAGUUUUGUACAGAUUUGCCGAAGAGACGGGCGAGGACACCGAGCUAGGGAGAGGUGUUGCCGUUUCCCGUGUACUGCCUGGAGAAGUCACCUGAGGGUGGGCUUGUUUAGGCGUUGGUGUUGCCACCGUGGGUUUUGCGAUGGUCAAAGACCAGUGCAUCUCACCACAUCCAGAUCAACAACCUUGCUUCAUCAUGAGCUAAUUCCUCUCAGUUCCAGUUCAUUUAAGCGGUUUCUUCUACUACUAAUACUAGAUGACCAGUUGCACCGAUGGCGCAAAAGUCGAGAGCAAGCCAAGUAUUGAAAGAGUACACAUAAAAAUAUUUAGAGACAAAUGAGUUGGUCGCGAGAUCUUAUGGGUUUCACCUCUAGCCUACCCCAACUUGUUUGGGACUAAAGGCUUUGUUGUUGUUGUAUUUAAACAUAUGAAUUUUUUUUUGCUGCUGGCAAUGUCAUGAUUUUCUCUAACCAGUGUAAAUAUAUAUAAAUAGUCUUCUGAAAAUAUUAGUAGAAGGCAGUUGAUUACAUAUAUAUAACAUGUGAUCACAAACUUCUUUUGACCACAGAGACAAUAAUGAGGUCUAAAGUGUACAUGCAGUAUCAUACACGAAUGGAAAUCUAAAGGCUAUACAUAUCUUGCUCAGAGCAACGCCAAAAGGGGAAAGAUACUGGAUCGAUUGAUA